GACGAACGCUGGCGGCGUGCUUAACACAUGCAAGUCGAACGGAAAGGCCCUGCUUGUGUGGGGUGCUCGAGUGGCGAACGGGUGAGUAACACGUGAGUAACCUGCCCUUGACUUUGGGAUAACUUCAGGAAACUGGGGCUAAUACCGGAUAGGAGCUCCUGCUGCAUGGUGGGGGUUGGAACGUUUCGGCGGUUGGGGAUGGACUCGCGGCUUAUCAGCUUGUUGGUGGGGUAGUGGCUUACCAAGGCUUUGACGGGUAGCCGGCCUGAGAGGGUGACCGGCCACAUUGGGACUGAGAUACGGCGCAGACUCCUACGGGAGGCAGCAGUGGGGAAUAUUGCACAAUGGGCGGAAGCCUGAUGCAGCAACGCCGCGUGCGGGAUGACGGCCUUCGGGUUGUAAACCGCUUUCGCCUGUGACGAAGCGUGAGUGACGGUAAUGGGUAAAGAAGCACCGGCUAACUACGUG
rnacentral:rRNA from 1 species